rnacentral:tRNA from 1 species
NNGGGUGUAGCUCAGUGGUAGAGCGCAUGCUCAGAUGCACGAGGUCCUGGGUUCAACCCCCAGGACCUCCA